UACGAAGGGGGCUAGCGUUGCUCGGAAUCACUGGGCGUAAAGCGUGCGCAGGCGGUCUGUUAAGAGAGGUGUGAAAUCCCCGGGCUUAACCUGGGAACUGCGCUUCUAACUGGCAGGCUGGAGUGUGGCAGAGGGGGGUGGAAUUCCACGUGUAGCAGUGAAAUGCGUAGAGAUGUGGAGGAACACCGAUGGCGAAGGCAGCCCCCUGGGCUAACACUGACGCUCAUGCACGAAAGCGUGGGGAGCAAACAG
rnacentral:rRNA from 1 species